CGCUCAUCGAGACCGGCUGAGGGUCAGGCCCAUUGACGCCGGGGCAACCGUCGAAUCCAACCCAUUCGAAAAGGUGCCAACUCCUGCGGGUGUUCCUGCCAAACGGCGGGAACAUGCCCGGCAGAUGAGUU
rnacentral:ncRNA from 1 species